rnacentral:piRNA from 1 species
UGAGACCCUCCAGAGAGCCACUUGUCACAU